rnacentral:rRNA from 1 species
UGGCGGACGGGUGAGUAACGCGUGGGUAACCUGCCUCACACUGGGGGAGUAACAGUUAGAAAUAGCUGCUAAUACCGCAUAAGCGCACAGUUCCGCAUGGAACGGUGUGAAAAACUCCGGUGGUGUGAGAUGGACCCGCGUCUGAUUAGCCAGUUGGCGGGUAACGGCCCACCAAAGCGACGAUCAGUAGCCGGCCUGAGAGGGUGAACGGCCACAUUGGGACUGAGACACGGCCCAA